AUCAAUGAAGAACAUCCAACCUUUAAGCAGACUGUUAACCAGGAGGAAGAGGAGCUGAGAGAAGAGGAAGAACAGAUGAAAGGAGGGAGAGAUUGAGGGAGGAGCUGAGCUGUUAGUGAACUAUAGAAGAGACACAAACUUCCACUUUCAUCACAGUUCAAGACACAAAAGCCAAACAUCAGCUUCAUCCAACAUGCUGUCUGUGCAGACAUCUGUGUUCACUCUGCUGCUUCUAGUCAUUGGAACAGAUGUCAGCUGUGAAGAACUCACUGCAGUCAAGAAGGAAGAGUCCACUUUGGAAGGAACUUCUGUCACUCUGUCCUACAAAUACUCUGCAUCAGGAGUUGCAGCAGAUUAUUUCUUCUGGUAUCGACAGUUUCCAGGAAAACCUCCAGAGUUCCUGAUCUCUCAUUUAAGAACAGGAGCAUCAAUGUCAAAUCCAGUUCCUGGAGUUUCUGUUAAUGUAAUAAAAGAGAAACAAAUGGAUCUGCAGAUCUCCUCUGCUGCAGUGACAGACUCUGCUGUGUACUACUGUGCUCUGAGGCCCACAGUGACAGGAAACAACAAAACGCCGUUCAAAAACCUCCAGUGACAACAGAAACUCCCACAAUAUCCACUAGAGGGCACUCUGAUUCUUGUAAAAAUGUUUUACUACCA